rnacentral:rRNA from 1 species
AUGAAGGACGUGCUAAUCUGCGAUAAGCGUCGGUGAGGUGAUAUGAACCGUUAUAACCGGCGAUUUCCGAAUGGGGAAACCCAGUGUGUUUCGACACACUAUCAUUAACUGAAUCCAUAGGUUAAUGAGGCGAACCGGGGGAACUGAAACAUCUAAGUACCCCGAGGAAAAGAAAUCAACCGAGAUUCCCCCAGUAGCGGCGAGCGAACGGGGAGGAGCCCAGAGCCUGAAUCAGUGUGUGUGUUAGUGGAAGCGUCUGGAAAGGCGCGCGAUACAGGGUGACAGCCCCGUACACAAAAAUGCACAUACUGUGAGCUCGAUGAGUAGGGCGGGACACGUGGUAUCCUGUCUGAAUAUGGGGGGACCAUCCUCCAAGGCUAAAUACUCCUGACUGACCGAUAGUGAACCAGUACCGUGAGGGAAAGGCGAAAAGAACCCCGGCGAGGGGAGUGAAAAAGAACCUGAAACCGUGUACGUACAAGCAGUGGGAGCCUCUUAAUGGGGUGACUGCGUACCUUUUGUAUAAUGGGUCAGCGACUUAUAUUCUGUAGCAAGGUUAACCGAAUAGGGGAGCCGAAGGGAAACCGAGUCUUAACUGGGCGUUAAGUUGCAGGGUAUAGACCCGAAACCCGGUGAUCUAGCCAUGGGCAGGUUGAAGGUUGGGUAACACUAACUGGAGGACCGAACCGACUAAUGUUGAAAAAUUAGCGGAUGACUUGUGGCUGGGGGUGAAAGGCCAAUCAAACCGGGAGAUAGCUGGUUCUCCCCGAAAGCUAUUUAGGUAGCGCCUCGUGAAUUCAUCUCCGGGGGUAGAGCACUGUUUCGGCAAGGGGGUCAUCCCGACUUACCAACCCGAUGCAAACUGCGAAUACCGGAGAAUGUUAUCACGGGAGACACACGGCGGGUGCUAACGUCCGUCGUGAAGAGGGAAACAACCCAGACCGCCAGCUAAGGUCCCAAAGUCAUGGUUAAGUGGGAAACGAUGUGGGAAGGCCCAGACAGCCAGGAUGUUGGCUUAGAAGCAGCCAUCAUUUAAAGAAAGCGUAAUAGCUCACUGGUCGAGUCGGCCUGCGCGGAAGAUGUAACGGGGCUAAACCAUGCACCGAAGCUGCGGCAGCGACACUAUGUGUUGUUGGGUAGGGGAGCGUUCUGUAAGCCUGUGAAGGUGGCCUGUGAGGGUUGCUGGAGGUAUCAGAAGUGCGAAUGCUGACAUAAGUAACGAUAAAGCGGGUGAAAAGCCCGCUCGCCGGAAGACCAAGGGUUCCUGUCCAACGUUAAUCGGGGCAGGGUGAGUCGACCCCUAAGGCGAGGCCGAAAGGCGUAGUCGAUGGGAAACAGGUUAAUAUUCCUGUACUUGGUGUUACUGCGAAGGGGGGACGGAGAAGGCUAUGUUGGCCGGGCGACGGUUGUCCCGGUUUAAGCGUGUAGGCUGGUUUUCCAGGCAAAUCCGGAAAACCAAGGCUGAGGCGUGAUGACGAGGCACUACGGUGCUGAAGCGACAAAUGCCCUGCUUCCAGGAAAAGCCUCUAAGCAUCAGGUAACAUCAAAUCGUACCCCAAACCGACACAGGUGGUCAGGUAGAGAAUACCAAGGCGCUUGAGAGAACUCGGGUGAAGGAACUAGGCAAAAUGGUGCCGUAACUUCGGGAGAAGGCACGCUGAUAUGUAGGUGAAGCGACUUGCUCGUGGAGCUGAAAUCAGUCGAAGAUACCAGCUGGCUGCAACUGUUUAUUAAAAACACAGCACUGUGCAAACACGAAAGUGGACGUAUACGGUGUGACGCCUGCCCGGUGCCGGAAGGUUAAUUGAUGGGGUUAGCGGCAACGCGAAGCUCUUGAUCGAAGCCCCGGUAAACGGCGGCCGUAACUAUAACGGUCCUAAGGUAGCGAAAUUCCUUGUCGGGUAAGUUCCGACCUGCACGAAUGGCGUAAUGAUGGCCAGGCUGUCUCCACCCGAGACUCAGUGAAAUUGAACUCGCUGUGAAGAUGCAGUGUACCCGCGGCAAGACGGAAAGACCCCGUGAACCUUUACUAUAGCUUGACACUGAACAUUGAGCCUUGAUGUGUAGGAUAGGUGGGAGGCUUUGAAGUGUGGACGCCAGUCUGCAUGGAGCCGACCUUGAAAUACCACCCUUUAAUGUUUGAUGUUCUAACGUUGGCCCGUAAUCCGGGUUGCGGACAGUGUCUGGUGGGUAGUUUGACUGGGGCGGUCUCCUCCUAAAGAGUAACGGAGGAGCACGAAGGUUGGCUAAUCCUGGUCGGACAUCAGGAGGUUAGUGCAAUGGCAUAAGCCAGCUUGACUGCGAGCGUGACGGCGCGAGCAGGUGCGAAAGCAGGUCAUAGUGAUCCGGUGGUUCUGAAUGGAAGGGCCAUCGCUCAACGGAUAAAAGGUACUCCGGGGAUAACAGGCUGAUACCGCCCAAGAGUUCAUAUCGACGGCGGUGUUUGGCACCUCGAUGUCGGCUCAUCACAUCCUGGGGCUGAAGUAGGUCCCAAGGGUAUGGCUGUUCGCCAUUUAAAGUGGUACGCGAGCUGGGUUUAGAACGUCGUGAGACAGUUCGGUCCCUAUCUGCCGUGGGCGCUGGAGAACUGAGGGGGGCUGCUCCUAGUACGAGAGGACCGGAGUGGACGCAUCACUGGUGUUCGGGUUGUCAUGCCAAUGGCACUGCCCGGUAGCUAAAUGCGGAAGAGAUAAGUGCUGAAAGCAUCUAAGCACGAAACUUGCCCCGAGAUGAGUUCUCCCUGACUCCUUGAGAGUCCUGAAGGAACGUUGAAGACGACGACGUUGAUAGGCCGGGUGUGUAAGCGCAGCGAUGCGUUGAGCUAACCGGUACUAAUGAACCGUGAGGCUUAACCUUACAACGCCGAAG